CCUACGGGAGGCAGCAGUGAGGAAUAUUGGUCAAUGGACGAGAGUCUGAACCAGCCAAGUAGCGUGAAGGAUGACUGCCCUAUGGGUUGUAAACUUCUUUUAUAUGGGAAUAAAACGUUCCACGUGUGGGAUUUUGUAUGUACCAUAUGAAUAAGAAUCGGCUAACUCCGUGCCAGCAGCCGCGGUAAUACGGAGGAUCCGAGCGUUAUCCGGAUUUAUUGGGUUUAAAGGGAGCGUAGGUGGAUUGUUAAGUAAGUUGUGAAAGUUUGCGGCUAAACCGUAAAAUUGCAGUUGAAACUGGCAGUCUUGAGUACAGUAGAGGUGGGCGGAAUUCGUGGUGUAGCGGUGAAAUGCUUAGAUAUCACGAAGAACUCCGAUUGCGAAGGCAGUUCACUGGACUGCAACUGACACUGAGGCUCGAAAGUGUGGGUAUCAAACAGGAUUAGAUACCCGGGUAGUC
rnacentral:rRNA from 1 species